AGCAGCCACUGACUAGACUCAGUAAAAUAUACCUGAUAUAAAUUUUCCUUGCAAUAAAGCGGGGUGGGGCAGACCUCAUCUUCUGGCAGCAGGCAGUUUGGGAGAGUGAGAUGCAUAACACACCUAUUUCCUUCAGUAAUUUGUAGAAACAACUUCAGUGGUAAUUUAGAGCAACUAAGACUAUAUGAAAGGUCCUAAAAAUAAUAUAUGGUUCCUUUGCCACCAAAUACAUUUUCAAAAGUCAUGCAAUAUUUUACUGAUUGAUGAUUGUUGUAUGGUAUUACUUUUCACAAGGUUAAUCCUAUGUAGUGGUGAAAUUUGGCUAAGCAGAUGAGUAAAUUUGCAUAUAGGUAAGUCUACAGCAAUGUCUUCAAAGUGGAAACUUGGAUCUUCUCUAAAAAAAAAAAAAAGGUGAGUAACAUCUAAAACCAGUUACUCCUGGACAGCUUGUAGAGAUUCCCAUGUUAAACAAUGUGUUGAUUUUUUUCUUUAACUUUCAUCAGUUUACCAUAAAUAUAUUUUUCUCUCCCUAGUCAGUAACCGGAGUGAGUGUACCAUGAAAGAUCAUCAUAGAAGAUGAAGAUAAUAUGAACCAUUGCCUUCUUUCCAUGAAUCAUGACUUCAGUGUCCAAGAUCAGAAAAAGUAAUAAAGGAAAUAUAUAUAUAUAUUUUUUGUUUGUUUUUGUUUUUUGCUGGUUUCUGUAGGCACAUUCUGGUAUCUUGAUUCUUUCAAAGCUCGCCAAAAUAAAACAGGAAAGGAUACAACCAUAACUGCCACAGCCAGGAGCCUUGUUGGGAGUUUUCCUCUUUCCUUGUCUAGGACGAAAAGGCAUGGUUAAGUUCAUGAAAGGAGGCUUCAGAAAACUACUCCCAGCUGUAGCUCAGAGACACACCACAUAACUGUGAAAAACACUUGCAAAUUCUGCUAUGUUUGACCAAAGAAUGAAUAUAAUAUUGUCAAAUUUAGUAAAAUAUUGCUAAUGUUUGUAUAUUUUGCAUUCUAUUAACUUUGUUUUUAAAAAAUGUAAUCCUUUUUUUCAUGAAUACAGUUUAUCUUAAAUCUAAAAGAGCUACUAUUUGUUAGAAUUUGGGCUGUGUUGUAGUUCUGCAUGUGACUUUUCCUUUGUCCUACAUUUCUCCUGGUCCAUUUUACAACUCUUUAUUUUAUUUUAUUUUAUUUUAUUUUACUUUAUUUUUAUUUUAUUUUAUUAUGUGCUUUUUUUUUUUUUUUUUGACUGGAAACUCUGUUUUUAUUAAGUUGCUUCAGUAUGGACUACUGCUAGGUACAGGUUGAUCUAACUCAUUCAUUCAUCAUUUGCACAAGUAUAUUAUCCCAAUCCUUUCAGUUAUAAUUUAUUUUUAUUUUUUCAUGCUUCCUUUAUGUUUCUGUUGCAUUUUUUAACUUCCUGUGAUAAGUUCAAGUUUAUUCUUUUUCAUGCCCUUGCUCAUCAUUGUUACUACUGUCUCACCCAAAUGCAAAUAUUUGAAAUAUUUGAAAGAGCUGCUCACGUAUUUUUAUCAAUCUUCUUGUUCCUUGUGAAUUGGAAUUUUGUUUUAUCUUGUUUUUAUCACAGUUGGAUACCCAGGGCUAUUCAUAGAUAAUCUCUUCUCUGUGAGUGUGGUGUUUGGGUACAAAGGCUUCUCAGAACAGCUCUGGAGACUUGUGGAAUCCCAGACACAGCGGUGCAGCUAAUCUGGAUGGGACUGGAAAUCCACCUAUUCUAAUAUCUCUGGAGUCUAGCAUGGCCAAGACCAGUUGCUCAAGGAUGUUACAGCAGACCUUCUGUGUUUCUUUGCCGUAAACCAGCUGUCAGCAGCCAGAGCAUUCCAAUGCUUAUUUCCAAUGUUGAACACGUGUAGCUACUUUGUCAGCCUCUUCAUUCCUGUGGUCUGUGACUAGUCCAUAAUCCCUCAGUUAUUCUAAAUGCACCAGUUUUGCUUCAUAUGUCUACAACAAGUAAAGAGGAAAGAAAGAAUGGCCAUGAAAUACUGUGUUCUGUAAUCUCAGCACUGACCAAGUACCAUAUACAAACCUGAGAUGCCUUCUCACAGGAUUAAUCCUCCACCAUCUACAAGCUCUUUCAGCUGCAACAUGAACAAACAGCAAGCUCAGACUCAGCGCUGCUUUGAAUUACAUCAGCAGCAACAGCCCUACAUGUUCAUGCUCCAAAAUGUGGAGUCCCUGCAAUGUGAUGGUGCAUCUGAACUGGGCAGGGGAGGUGAGUGGAUGUGGUACCUGACUUUUUUCAUUGCCAUGCAACCACCUGUGGAUGAUGGGCAGAGUCAGAACGGCACAAACCCAUUCUGUUAGUGCCAGCAAUCCCACUCUUGCUUCUUUACUAGAUUGCUCUUGUUUUCCUUUAAGAGAGAUUUGUAACAGUAUGAGCUUGUGCCCAAUUAGGCAAGAGUUAAAAACAGCAAUUAAAAAUACUAACAUUUAAUUUUAGAAAGUGGAGGCAGACUGGAAUAAUCCAAAGCAGACAGCAGGGUCAACAACAGACAUGGUCUGUAAAUUGACUCUGUCUGGAGUGAGCAAACUAGGUAACUGCUGAUUAGGCAGGUCUUGUGAUGUGCCUUUUGUGAAAACAAAUUCAAGCUGCAGCCUUCCAUACACAGUACAGCUGAUGAUGGGUUGUUACUUAAAUGUCUGGGAAAGCAGCUUUCAGAUCCUGAGCCUGUCAGAAAAAAAAAAAACAGCAUGAGGGGACACAAAUAAUGAAAACAAAAGUACACAGAGAACUGGACGGAUAACACCAGUGCAGAGGUCAACAGUGUGAUAUGCCCUGAAAUAUAUUGCAGGAAACUGUAAAGUCAAAGCUGACCCAGAACAGCAAAAUAGUUUCCAUGUGUUUAUUACUUGCUGUGCUUGGGCCCCAGUGGGGCAAACAGUAUCAGUUAUGUUUUUCUUUCCCCAUGCAGGGUGUCAGGUUUUAAGAUGCUUCCUAUUGCUGGAGAAAGAGACUGUAAAAUUGCACUGACAGGUGUUAAGAAAAAAGUCUUAUUUCCAGCUGUCGCAUAUACACAAUUCACAAAACAGCUGAGAAAUCGGAAGCAAUCUUAUGGAUUUCUAGUCAGACCUUUCUGACUGGAAGAUGAGACUGAGUAGAGGAAGGUAAUAAAAGGGGGGCACUUGGCUGAUUUACUUCUUGUGAGUGUGAGGCCUCAGACUGGCACUACGAAUAAUUCUUAUUCUUGUUUUUUAACAACAAAAAUUCUGGUCCACUCAGAGUGAAGUAGUUACUAAUUUUAUUAAAACAAAAUCACAAAGAAACAAAACCUGUAGGCAACUCUACUAUAAUUAUUACUUGACUCACUCUGCAAAAGGCAGCUGCUGUAAUUUUACAUGCACUUCCAGCAUCAGCUGCUGGUCUAAUGAGCUUUGGAAGACUAGCUCUGCCAGCCAGCCAGCUCCAAGAAAUACAGAAGCAUGGAAAAAGUGGCAUUGAUGUUUCAAUAAGUGAGAUUCUUUCCUCUGACUCAGCAUGAACAAAAUGUCAUGGAAGAGUGUUGGAGGAUCUAGGAGGCACCACUUUUAAAUAAGACUUAAAACUGGGACCCAUCUUCUCACUGGGAGUGAGACACUCUCCAGUGCACAGAUGAUAAAUACCUGUACGUGGUCAUAGACUUGAAGGAAUCCAGACUCACAGUGGGAAAAUACAAUUUUGGCUGUUUGCCAUAUGUGGGAGCUUAAUAAACACUACUGGAUAUUUCAGCAUGGCACAAACUAGUUCCAAAUGAAGUAAUUCAGAUCUCUUAAAUAGGAUUCCUGUUGUACCACCGGACCUUCAUCCAGAGAAGUUCUCUGCAGGCUGCUGCUCCAGUGCAGAGUAAGGUUUGUGUCUUUGUAUCAUUGUGCCCCAAAGUCAUGGCUCUUGUCACCUUUGUGGUUAAGCCUCUAGCCCAGAUGUAACUUCUGGUGGUCCGGGUGUCUUGAUGCCAGCAGCUGAGUCCUAGAAAAAAGUUCAUAUUCCGAAUUAGACAAGGAGGAAUCAUAGGUUGGAAUUAAAUCUGCGUUUCCCAUUUGGCUUUGUUCUGAUCCACAAUUGUUCUCACAGUACAGUUAAAAAUAAAAUGACCUCUUUCUUUUUCUAACUGCUGUCAAAAUUGUCAUUCCCCACCAGAUGCCCUAACUUCCAACUGCUCCCCGCUGGUACUGCUGCCCCUGUUGUCUCUCAGUCCAAAGAGCUUCUGAACAAGAGACAUGCUUUUAUGGAGCCCGGCAAAGCUUCAGAAGGGAAAAGGAAAAAUCAAUACCGCUUCAAAGCAAAGUCUUUGCUUCAGUGAAUAUGACAUUUGCCCUUUCUUCACUAGUGGGAAAAACAACAAGGACACUUACGCCAGCAAUGGAAAUAGAAUGAAUGACAACAGAGAGACCUUCCAGGUUUGACUUGUAAAGAGAAAUGACUUUAUAGGCAUUGUCCCUAUUUGGUGACAUCAAAAGCAGGUGUAGGGUGUUAGGUGGUGCAGUCUGAGAAUGGAGGGGAAAGUAACACAAAGUCAAAGAGAAGAGUUGAAGGAAUUUGGAACAAGUAAUAAUGGACUCAGCUGAAAAGAUGGAGGAUAAAAGACAGAAUAAAGGUGAAGUUCAUUGCUGCACCAUCAAAUCAACUACAAAAUGUCACCUGAAAAUGUGGGCCACAAUAUUAAAAGAACUUUCUAGUAAGUUUUACAUCAUUUCAACAGCUUCUGAAAAUGGCCAGAGAAUUUCAGUUUGCCAAUGAAUGGCUUCUCACUAGGGCUGAAGCUGGUUAGAAAUUUUCCAAGAGAAGUUGCAAAUACCGAUUAAAUAAAUGAAUGUCUCUACAAAAUCAAAACAACUUUGAAAAAUCCUCAGUGAUGUUUUUGGAGGGUUUACAAAAAUGUCAAAUAAAUGUAAGUCUUACAACUCUGCUUCAAUUCAUUUUCUUAUUCAAGUUUUCAUUAAUUUAAUUCCUGUUUAAUUCUGACUGCUUUUUGUUUCCAGUUCUUUUUGCUUCAAAACUAGAUGCUUGUUCCAAGUCCCUAAUCUCAUUCUGCUUUGACUAUGCCACUUCUUAGCUAGUUUUCCAAGUUGUUUUGUUUUGAUGUUUCUACUUCUGUGCCAUUUUUCCACAUUCCUCUUUCUUUUAGAAUAAAAUGCAUUGUUUCAA